rnacentral:rRNA from 1 species
AUCUUCACAAUGGACGAAAGUCUGAUGGAGCAACGCCGCGUGAGUGAAGAAGGUUUUCGGAUCGUAAAACUCUGUUGUUGGAGAAGAAUGUAUCUGAUAGUAACUGAUCAGGUAGUGACGGUAUCCAACCAGAAAGCCACGGCUAACUACGUGCCAGCAGCCGCGGUAAUACGUAGGUGGCAAGCGUUGUCCGGAUUUAUUGGGCGUAAAGCGAGCGCAGGCGGUUUCUUAAGUCUGAUGUGAAAGCCUUCGGCUCAACCGAAGAAGUGCAUCGGAAACUGGGAAACUUGAGUGCAGAAGAGGACAGUGGAACUCCAUGUGUAGCGGUGAAAUGCGUAGAUAUAUGGAAGAACACCAGUGGCGAAGGCGGCUGUCUGGUCUGUAACUGACGCUGAGGCUCGAAAGCAUGGGUAGCAAACAGGAUUAGAUACCCUGGUAGUCCAUGCCGUAAACGAUGAGUGCUAGGUGUUGGAGGGUUUCCGCCCUUCAGUGCCGCAGCUAACGCAUUAAGCACUCCGCCUGGGGAGUACGACCGCAAGGUUGAAACUCAAAGGAAUUGACGGGGCUUAA